CCCAUCAGAAGGGGAUAACACUUGGAAACAGGUGCUAAUACCGUAUAACAAUCGAAACCGCAUGGUUUCGGUUUGAAAGGCGCUUUUGCGUCACUGAUGGAUGGACCCGCGGUGCAUUAGCUAGUUGGUGAGGUAACGGCUCACCAAGGCAACGAUGCAUAGCCGACCUGAGAGGGUGAUCGGCCACAUUGGGACUGAGACACGGCCCAAACUCCUACGGGAGGCAGCAGUAGGGAAUCUUCGGCAAUGGACGCAAGUCUGACCGAGCAACGCCGCGUGAGUGAAGAAGGUUUUCGGAUCGUAAAACUCUGUUGUUAGAGAAGAACAAGGAUGAGAGUAAAAUGUUCAUCCCUUGACGGUAUCUAACCAGAAAGCCACGGCUAACUACGUGCCAGCAGCCGCGGUAAUACGUAGGUGGCAAGCGUUGUCCGGAUUUAUUGGGCGUAAAGCGAGCGCAGGCGGUUUCUUAAGUCUGAUGUGAAAGCCCCCGGCUCAACCGGGGAGGGUCAUUGGAAACUGGGGAACUUGAGUGCAGAAGAGGAGAGUGGAAUUCCAUGUGUAGCGGUGAAAUGCGUAGAUAUAUGGAGGAACACCAGUGGCGAAGGCGGCUCUCUGGUCUGUAACUGACGCUGA
rnacentral:rRNA from 1 species